rnacentral:rRNA from 1 species
GACGAACGCUGGCGGCGUGCCUAAUACAUGCAAGUCGAGCGGAUGACGGAGGAGCUUGCUCCUCUAGAUUCAGCGGCGGACGGGUGAGUAACACGUGAGCAACCUGCCCUGUAGAUUGGGAUAACUCCGGGAAACCGGGGCUAAUACCGAAUAAUCCUUUGGACCUCAUGGUCCGAUGUUGAAAGACGGUUUCGGCUGUCACUACAGGAUGGGCCCGCGGCGCAUUAGCUAGUUGGUGAGGUAACGGCUCACCAAGGCCACGAUGCGUAGCCGACCUGAGAGGGUGAUCGGCCACACUGGGACUGAGGCACGGCCCAGACUCCUACGGGAGGCAGCAGUAGGGAAUCUUCCACAAUGGACGAAAGUCUGAUGGAGCAACGCCGCGUGAGUGAAGAAGGUUCUCGGAUCGUAAAACUCUGUUGUGAGGGAAGAACAAGUACCGGAGUAACUGCCGGUGCCUUGACGGUACCUCAUUAGAAAGCCACGGCUAACUACGUGCCAGCCGCCGCGGUAA